rnacentral:lncRNA from 1 species
GAAAAGAAAAUGUAUCAAACUUGUAAACUCUGAUGUAAUAGUGAGAUUGUAAUUUGGAAGUAAAAAUGUAAACGAAAACUGUGAUGUAAAAAGUGGUUGUAAAAUGAAUGCUUGUAAUAGCAAGUAGAUUAUGUAUUUAAUACUUCCUUAUGCAAUCUGGAUUGAUAUCCGUUCCUUGUUGGAACAUUCGUUGAUUGUUUGGAUUGCGAUGCCUUGGACGUACUGGGGAGACUCUGUCUGCGUACAGGGGAAUUCCCGGU